UGAAGUGUGGACGCCAGUCUGCAUGGAGCCGACCUUGAAAUACCACCCUUUAAUGUUUGAUGUUCUAACGUGGACCCGUUACCCGGGUUGCGGACAGUGUCUGGUGGGUAGUUUGACUGGGGCGGUCUCCUCCUAAAGAGUAACGGAGGAGCACGAAGGUUGGCUAAUCCUGGUCGGACAUCAGGAGGUUAGUGCAAUGGCAUAAGCCAGCUUGACUGCGAGCGUGACGGCGCGAGCAGGUGCGAAAGCAGGUCAUAGUGAUCCGGUGGUUCUGAAUGGAAGGGCCAUCGCUCAACGGAUAAAAGGUACUCCGGGGAUAACAGGCUGAUACCGCCCAAGAGUUCAUAUCGACGGCGGUGUUUGGCACCUCGAUGUCGGCUCAUCACAUCCUGGGGCUGAAGUAGGUCCCAAGGGUAUGGCUGUUCGCCAUUUAAAGUGGUACGCGAGCUGGGUUUAGAACGUCGUGAGACAGUUCGGUCCCUAUCUGCCGUGGGCGCUGGAGAACUGAGGGGGGCUGCUCCUAGUACGAGAGGACCGGAGUGGACGCAUCACUGGUGUUCGGGUUGUCAUGCCAAUGGCACUGCCCGGUAGCUAAAUGCGGAAGAGAUAAGUGCUGAAAGCAUCUAAGCACGAAACUUGCCCCGA
rnacentral:rRNA from 2 species